GCCCGGAUAGCUCAGCAGGUAGAGCACUUCCAUGGUAAGGAAGGGGUCGCCGGUUCGAAUCCGGCUCCGGGCU
rnacentral:tRNA from 1 species